CUGCAUCCCUAGUAUUUUAAUUUCUUCAUCCUUUCAGCCACCGCCAAGUCUGGAUUGGAAUUUCCAUAAGAGCACCCAGCUUGCCCGUCCUUAUAAGGAAUGAAUAAAGACGAAAAUAAAUAUCCCCCUCCCCAGGUGUCUAAAUGUUGCUCCCCUUGUUCACUCCUGCAGGGAGAACUUCCCAUCGAAAAAUUGCUUGCAGGAAACAUUAGGCCGCCCUUCUCCUGUGCAAAGGUGAAAUGGCUGCACGUCGAGCAAGAAACGUGAGGGUCCCCAGCCACGCAUUUAGUAUCUCAAGCAAUGAAGUUAUUACACCGUAGAAAGAGGACAUACAAGCCUCAUGCAACCUUUCCUAAGAUUUUCUCUUCUGCUGGUCCAGUUUGGAUGUCAUUCUGUUUCUUACAACCAAUGGCUAAGGCUCCAGCCCCAGUGACCUCCUCAUUCCGGUCUGUAGCUCCUGAUGUGUACUAAGUUGCUGGAGGAAGCUUUUCUGAUGACUAUUGGACUAUGCAUGAAUCUGUCUUCCCAAUCUGGUCACUACUUGGUUGCAACUAUAGAUAACCUCGGAUAGAGGAUGGAAAUAAUUUUGGAGCGGCUGUCCAGGAGAAGGUGUUUGAGCUGACGACCAGCCUUCAUACCAAGCUGGAGGGCUUCCACACUCAAAUCUCUAAGUACUUCUCAGAGAGGUACUGAUGCAGUGACCAAAGGAGCCAAGCAGCACCACGUGGGUGAUUAUCUGCAGCUGGUGCUCGAGCUGGAUGAGGCAGAGUACCAGGACAUCCUGCUGAUGGUCAUGGAGAUCCGUAAUGCUUAUGCUGUCUUAUAUGACAUCAUCCUGAAGAAUUUCGAGAAGCUCAAGAAGCCCCGUGGGGAAACUAGGGGAAUGAUUUAUUGAGUCUCCUCUCUUGUUCUGUGAUGGGUACAACAGAGACCUUCCUGCUCUUUACCAGGAACUAUAGACUGUACCCAAUCUUCUUCCUGCUGGGGUUUUUUCCCCUGCUCUGCCUCCCAAACACAAUAAGUAUAUGGUUGCCCAACCA